AUAUUAGACGAAAUUGGUUUGGCCGCCAAUAAUAGUUAUUAGAUUCUCUUAGAGAAUAUAUAACGUCAAUGGUUCGUCGUGUACGAUCCUUUUCGAGUUCCGCAGAAAAUUACGUAAGUAAGAGUUUGGAGCAUUUUUAAAAUGGGCCAACAUUUUGUUAGUAUU
ncrna:unclassified sequences OTKONC RNA